UGCCUAGAGCGUCUGAGACGUGUAAUGGGCUCAAUGUUUCUGUGACUUGUGACUGAGUGCCAACUUGUAUCAACCUAAUGUGUGGUUAUUUCAUCAAGGGCGGAUCUAAAUUUUCAAAGUUGCAGGCAGUGAGGCUCCCUGAGAGUGCCAGAGAUCAUACAUGCAUUAUGGCCCGUCAGUCCUGAGACUCGCAAACUAGUGUGUAAGAAAAAGCAUCUGAUCCAACAAGAAGAUCGUGUGGACACUGGCAGAGUUGUCAUUUUGAAAUGGCAACCAAUGCCCUCAGAAGAUGCAUACCAGAACUCACAUUGGAGAUACUUGAUAGCAGAAGCUUUGGAUAAGAGUUGCCUUGGAGAUGAUUAUUGACGAAAUACCUAGUUUUUUGAAAAAAAACAAUGCAUUAUAGGAAAUACAGAACGUAAAUUAAGUCACAUUAGCACUAUAUUGUACCUUUUUGUUAGACACUAGACAAUUUUUCAGAACACUUGUUUUUUGUGAAGUGAAGCACUAAUGUAUGUUCAUGUGAAGUUCAUCGCAAAUGAUCAUCUGACAUAUUCUGAUAUAGUCGACAUUUAACAAUUGUUUCUGUUGAGUCUGUUAAAUUAUAUUUACAACAACAGUAAUCUCAUAAGAUAAAUUCACGAUCCAGUGAUCGAACCACUAGACCGUUACAAUGAUAUGUAUUUUUGCUAUGCAUACAUUAUGUGAUAUUAUGUUUAUGGAUUCCUGUAUUUUUGGAAACACAGUUGGCAGUCUAGAAAACAUAGUUUUAUGCAUAAAUGUUUCGGGCAAGGACAACAUAUAUUCACAAACGCGAUUCAUUUACUUAACGUAAGGCACUGUUUUGACUUUAUCACGGCAUCAUGUACAUGAUACCGCUUUGUGAAGUCAGCACACACUUUUUCAAGUGUGAAGCUUGACACAUAGAACACAUGAUUUUGACACAGCCACUUCAUCACCAAAUACACAAUACCGCUUCGUGAAGUCAGCACACAUUUGUUCAAGUGUGAAGCUUGACACAUAGAGCACAUGGUAUUGACACAGCCACUUAAUCACCAAAUACACAAUACCGCUUUGUGAAGUCAGCACACACUUUUUCAAGUGUGAAGCUUGACACAUAGAGCACAUGGUAUUGACACAGACACUUCAUCACCAAAUACACAAUACCGCUUUGUGAAGUCAGCACACACUUUUUUCAAGUAUGAAGCUUGACACAUAGAGCACAUGGUAUUGAUACAGCCACUUCAUUACCAAAUACACAAUACCGCUUUGUGAAGUCAGCACACAUUUGUUCAAGUGUGAAGCUUGACACAUAAACACAUUAAAUUUAUCCAAUAUACAUGUUGAUACAUAUUCAUAUUUUUUUUUUUUUUACAUUUUUAACAUAACAUAUCCACCUUCAUGAUUUUGUUCAUUAUUGGCACACUUUUUCAUGCAGUGCUUUUUUGUUAUUUUAUCUUCCAAAGCUGCAAUGUACAAAUAUUAUUUCCAUUUUUUUAAAAACAUAUUUUACCUGGUAUUUGUAUAAUCCAUAUUCAAAUUUAGUAUUAAAGUUUAAAAAAUGUCUGCUAAUUUUUGUAAUUGUCACAAAAGCAUG